rnacentral:rRNA from 1 species
UACGAAGGGGGCGAGCGUUGUUCGGAUUUACUGGGCGUAAAGGGCGCGCAGGCGGCUUGUUUUGUCAGGCGUGAAAUCCCCGGGCUCAACCUGGGAAUGGCAUUUGGGACUGCAAGGCUCGAGUGCGGCAGAGGAGACUGGAAUUCCUGGUGUAGCAGUGAAAUGCGUAGAUAUCAGGAAGAACACCCGUGGCGAAAGCGGCUCUCUGGAACGGUACUGACGCUGAGACGCGAAAGCGUGGGGAGCGAACAGG